UUGAUUGCGAAUCGUUGCCUUCUGUGCUGGCCAGCUCUGGCAAGUGCACGUCGGUGACUUUCAUCCAAUACCCUGUGAACCUUUGGCCUUUGCUAGCUUCGGCCGGCAGAGGAAUUUACACACACUCGAAUGUAAUGAAAUUUAUUUUGUGCGCAAGCACUAAUGUA
rnacentral:misc_RNA from 1 species